UUUCUGGGUUUUUAAACCCUAGCCCAGUGGUUUCCCAACACAAAACCGAACCCAAACCAACCUACCGGAUCGCCAUUCCUGACCGACUCCUUCGAAGUGACGUCAGCUUCCUGCAUCCGUUAACAGGCUUCAGCCGUCACCCGGUAUCCAUUGGUUUUUGAAUCCCUUUCUGCAAAGUGCAAACCUUGAAGCCUAAGUAACUCUAGAGUUCUCGAAACCUUUUUUCUCUUUCCUUACUCCUUUAACAUUCGCUGUUGUUGAAUUACGUUCCCUCUUCCUUCUGAUUCGAUUUGGCCGUUCAGAAGAGAAGAAGGGAUGGAUGAUAGCUGUGCCGUCUGCGCCGAACCUCUUGAAUGGGUCGCUUACGGACCUUGUGGUCAUCGCGAGGUCUGCUCGACCUGCGUUGCCCGUCUUCGAUUCAUAUGCGACGAUCGGCGUUGUUGCAUCUGCAAGACUGAAUGCAAAAUUGUCUUCGUCACGAAGGCUUUAGGGGAUUAUACGAGGAUGAUAACUAACUUCUCGGUCUUCCCAUCUGAUUCAUCGGAGGGUCAAGUUGGGACGUACUAUUACCAUGAGGACACACAGGCUUAUUUUGAUGAUUCAGAUCAUUACAAAAUGAUCAGAGCAAUGUGUAAGCUCUCUUGCAGUGUGUGUGACAAGAUGGGGGACGAAGGAAAGGACAACUCCCAGAGAAAGGCAAAGUUUAGAAACAUUGAGCAGUUGAAGAGCCAUUUAUAUCACCGUCAUAGAUUGUUUAUGUGUAGUCUAUGUUUGGAAGGAAGGAAGAUAUUUAUUUGUGAACAAAAGCUCUAUACUAGAUCGCAGUUGAAUCAACAUAUAAACACAGGAAAUUCUGAAGUGGAUGGCAGUGAAAGUGAAAGAGGUGGCUUUAUGGGUCAUCCCAUUUGUGAGUUCUGCAAACGUCCAUUCUAUGGGGAUAACGAGCUGUAUACACAUAUGUCUACUGAACAUUUUACCUGCCACAUAUGCCAAAGGCAGCAUCCAGGACAGUAUGAAUACUAUAAAGACUAUGAUAAUUUGGAGAUCCAUUUCCGUCGUGAGCAUUUCCUAUGCGAGGAUGAAGCCUGCCUAGUCAAAAAAUUCAUUGUUUUUCCAACAGAAUCUGAAUUGAAGAGGCAUAAUGCUAUUGAGCAUGGUGGGCAAAUGUCUCGUUCCAAGCGGAAUGCUGCCCUUCAGAUUCCAACUAGCUUCCGAUAUCGGAGAAGUAAUGAACAAGAUCAUCGUCGUGGAAGGGGUCGUGGGUUCCGUUCAGAAUCCUCUGAUGGUCAAAUUUCAAUAGCUAUUCAAGCUAGUUUGGAGACGGCCAAUGUGGAGAACACGAGCCAUGACCCUUCAUCCAACACACAAGUUUCGGAUCGUGCAGAGAGUACUGAACUUGGAACAUCCCCAGACCCCUUCGAAUCCUCUUUUCCUCCAGACACUACAACACACUCUGAGACUUCUUCAAGAUACCUUCAGGCACUGGGACAUUCAAGAAAUGCACCUUUACAAGAAUCCUCUUUUCCACCACUUCCUCUGGGACAAGUUAUCAAUCAACAGAACCCUAGGCAUGAAUCCGAAGGGACGGCUAAGACCACGAUGGCUGCUCGGCUUCGUCACCGCAACAAUGGCACUGUAAAUAUUCUCAAUUCAGCUCAGGCUUGGCCUGCAGCAAGAUAUGCAUCUAGUACUUCUACUCAGUUUAGGCCUCCAACUAAUGGACUUGUAUUACCUAGUCCCACCAUCCCUUCCCAGAGUAAGCUAGUCACAAAUGGUCCUGUACCGUCUAGUUAUGCAAGUUUCACUCAGGGUAUACCAGCAACAGUUCAUGGACUUGCAUCAGCUAGCUCUGCAAGUUCAUCAUGGAAUUCAGGUGUUGCUGGCAGGGUCAGCCUUUCUGCAUCAGCUCCUAAUCCAGUAGAGGUGGGAUCCUUGGACUCUUCCUUGUCUAAUUUUCCUCCUGUUUCUGCAGCACAAAAGCAUAAGUUACAAAAAGAUAGCCUGCCUUUGCCCGAUGUUGAAGAUGUUCAUACUGCAAACAAAUCUUUGGUGGAAAGGAUUCGUGAGGCCCUUGAAUUUGAUGAGAGCAAAUUCACUGCUUUCAAAGAGUUAUCAGCGGAGUAUCGUCAAGAUGUGAUUGAUGCGGAUGAGUAUCUAGCCUAUGCUCAGCAGUUUGGGUUGUCACAUCUGGUUCCUGAGCUAGCUAGACUCUGUCCUGAUGCUGGGAGGCAGAAAGUGUUGCUUGAAACCUACAAUGCCAAUCUGUGGAAUUCUACUCAACAAAAGGGACGGGACUUCAGCUCUGAUCACUCGAAAGACAUUAGAAGUAGGAACAAGGGCAAAGGCAAGGGCUUGGGUAAUGUGAACAGUAAUUCAAUGGAAACUUUGGUGAGGAGCAAGGGAAAAGGAAAGUGUUUGGAAGAUGGAAAUACUGAGGAAACAUUAGCCGACGGUAUCAUGAACACUGUAAAGAAACUGCAAUUAGGUUAUAAACCUCCUGAAGGGGAUGUUGAGGUUCUAUCAAAAGAUGGAUAUCGUGCUCCCGGUGUAAAACCAAAGGCAUUUGUUGAUGACCGGGUACGGUUGAGUGCUACCGUUUCAGAGCUUGCAGAGUCACCGAAUAAAACUGAUUCACAUUCUCCUGGUGGUGGUUUGAACCAAAAUUUGCCAACUGGGGGAGGAGGAAGUAAACAACGGAAGAAGACUUCAAAGUUUCAAAGAGUUCGUCUUGGUGAUGGAUCAGUGGCAGCUUUGUUAGACCUUAAGCAUUCUGGGCCCAGUUUGGACCAAGUUGAAGAGACAGGUAAUGGGAACAAGAGUUCCUCUGCUGAUAAUUUGCCAGUUCGUGGAGUUUGGCGAAAUGGUGGAGGGCAGAGACUUAUGCGGCAGGGAGGCAAGUGAUAGACAGCAAAGCUGAUUGAUUGGGAAGCCUUGUAGAGAAGCGCAAGCUUUUUGGUAACUGAGCUGGAGUUUCAUUGGAAUUAAUUUAUAUAUAGGAAAGCCAGAAGGUGGUUGCUUAGGCUUGGUGGAUCCUCUGGAUAUUAUUGUUUUCUGUUCUUCAUUCCUUCUGGCUGCAAGGAAGCAAGAAAUUUUAUGUUUUUGCACCUCUGUUUCUCUCUGUCCGUCUCUUGAUGUGUUUUCAGUAGCUCGACUGAGUACACAUUGGCAGGAAUUUUUGCCUUGCCAGAAUGGUUAGUGUUUCGAAGUUGCCAGUUUGUUCGUUGAAUCAUAUCAAUGCGGUAGUAUGUCGACAUUGAAUACAAUAGAUUUUCCUUCAUAUGAAAUCAAUCGGGUGAAUCACCCAUGCCAAGGAAUCGUUCAUCUCCCUUUCAGCACUAAAUAUUGCUUACUCUGUAAAGGAAUUAACUUUGCUAUUGUUUGUCCAUUUGACUCCCUUUCACAUUGAACUUCAGUAAUUUAACCGUUGUGCUGCAACCCAA